rnacentral:rRNA from 1 species
GCAUUCACUUUAAAUAGGGCUCCGUCGAAAUCCGUUGAGACGACACCGUAUGAAUUAUGGUUUGGGAAGAAACCUAAGCUGUCGUUUCUAAAAGUUUGGGGAUGCGAUGCUUAUGUCAAGAAACUUCAACCUGAAAAGCUCGAACCCAAGUCGGAAAAAUGCGUCUUCAUAGGAUACCCUAAGGAAACCAUUGGGUAUACCUUCUACCUCAGAUCCGAAGGCAAUAUCUUUGUUGCCAAGAGCGGGUCCUUUCUGGAGAAAGAGUUUCUCUCGAAAGAAGUAAGUGGGAGGAAAGUGGAACUUGAUGAAGUACUACCUCUUGAACUGGAAAGUAGCACAGCUCAGGAAGAUGUUCCUGUGGUGCCUGCACCGACUAGAGAGGAAGUUAAU